UACGUAGGGGGCAAGCGUUGUCCGGAAUCAUUGGGCGUAAAGAGCGCGUAGGCGGCCCUGUAAGUCCGCUGUGAAAGUCAAGGGCUCAACCCUUGGAUGCCGGUGGAUACUGCAGGGCUAGAGUCCGGAAGAGGCGAGUGGAAUUCCUGGUGUAGCGGUGAAAUGCGGCAGAUAUCGGGAGGAACACCCAAUGGCGAAGGCAGCUCGCUGGGACGGUACUGACGCUGAGACGCGAAAGCGUCGGGGAGCAAACAGG
rnacentral:rRNA from 1 species